ensembl:snoRNA
GUAUAAUGAUGAAAUCCAUGCGUGUCAACUGACUCUGAGAUCCCCUGGUGUGGAGAAUCUCUGGUUGGCGUUCUGCUGGCCUGAGAUGUCGCUACAUCAGGGAACCAGAGGCAUGAUCAUACAUCAUGGUUCUGAUUAC